rnacentral:rRNA from 1 species
GUCAAGCGAACAAGGGCGCAGGGCGAAUGCCUUGGCACUGGGAGCCGAUGAAAGACGUGAUAAGCUGCGAUAAGCUUCGGGGAGCUGCAAAUAAGCAUUGAUCCGGAGAUUUCUGAAUGAGGAAACUCACCUGGGUUCAUACUCAGGUACGUUAUACUGAACUUAAAAAUAGGUAUAUCGAGGGAACCGCCUGAACUGAAACAUCUAAGUAGGGCGAGGAAGAGACAUCAAACGAGAUUCCGUAAGUAGUGGCGAGCGAACGCGGAAGAGGGCAAACCGGAAGUAGAAAUACUUCCGGGGUACGGACCGCAUUUAGGACUUGAGUUGUUAACCGAACGGCAUGGGAAGGCCGGUCAGAGAGUGUGAGAACCACGUAGGUGAAAACGACAAGAGCUGAGCGAGUUCCAGAGUACGGCCAGACACGUGAAACCUGGUCGGAAUAUGGGGGGACCACCCUCCAACCCUAAAUACUACCCAGUGACCGAUAGCGUAUAGUACUGUGAAGGAAAGGUGAAAAGCACCCCGGGAGGGGAGUGAAAAAGAACCUGAAACCCUGUGCCUACAAGCACCUAGAGCACGUCAAUGUGUGAUAGGGUACUUUUUGUAGAACGGUCCGGCGAGCGAUUGUAUGCAGCAAGGUUAAGGACUUAAGGUCUGGAGCCGAAGCGAAAGCGAGUUUGAAAAGGGCGUUAAGUUGCAUACAAUGGGCCCGAAACCGGGUGACCUACCCAUGGUCAGGUUGAAGUGGAAGUAAAAUUCCAUGGAGGACCGAACCGACCUCCGUUGAAAAGGCGGCGGAUGAACUGUGGGUAGCGGAGAAAUUCCAAUCGAACCCGGAGAUAGCUGGUUCUCCCCGAAAUAGUUUUAGGACUAGCCUCAAGUUAGAUACCUGGAGGUAAAGCACUGAAUAGCCUAGCGGCCGAGAGGUUAGCGAAGCUUAUCAAACUCAGAAUGCCAGAGUAUUGAUGCUUGGGAGUCAGACAGUGUCAGAUAAAUGUCAUUGUCAAAAGGGAAACAGCCCAGAUCUACAGCUAAGGUCCCAAAGUCAGGUUAAGUGGAAAACGAUGUGAAGAUACGUAGACAACCAGGAUGUUGGCUCAGAAGCAGCCACACAUUCAAAGAGUGCGUAAUAGCUCACUGGUCGAGCGUCUUUGCGCGGAGAAUUUAACGGGGCUAAACCUGACACCGAAGCUUAGGCAAUACAGCAAUGUAUUGGGUAGGGGAGCGUUGUAUACGCGGUGAAACAGUAGCGCAAGCGGCUGUGGAGUGUAUAGAAGUGAGAAUGCCGGAAUGAGUAGCGCGAAUGCAGUGAGAAUCUGCAUGGCCGAAAGCCUCAGGUUUCUGGAGGAAGGUUCGUCCGCUCCAGGUUAGUCGGGAGCUAAGGUGAGGCCUAACGGCGUAGCCGAUGCACAGACGGUAGAGAUUCCGUCACCACCAAAAGAGUUAAACACAGGGACACAUUUGAAGUCUCGGAGCCGGGUGUUGGUUCCGGUAGCGAUCGAGGGAAGUUAGUACCGAAGUCCGGGAUGGAAGAUGGCGAGAAAAGCUGUGUGUAUUUCUGCGGUGCCCGUACCGCAAACCGACACAGGUAGGUAGGAAGAAGAUUCUAAGGCCAACGGGAGAAGGGUUGUUAAGGAACUCGGCAAAUUGACCCCGUAACUUCGGGAGAAGGGGUGCUCCAGAGAUGGAGCCGCAGAGAAUCGGCCCAAGCAACUGUUUACCAAAAACACAGGUUUGUGCUAAAUCGAAAGAUGACGUAUACGAGCUGACGCCUGCCCGGUGCUGGAAGGUUAAGAGGAGAUGUGCAAGCAUUGAAUCGAAGCCCCAGUGAACGGCGGCCGUAACUAUAACGGUCCUAAGGUAGCGAAAUUCCUUGUCAGGUAAGUUCUGACCCGCAUGAAAGGCGUAAUGAUUUGGGCACUGUCUCGACAGCCCGCCCGGCGAAAUUGUAGUACCGGUGAAGAUGCCGGUUACCCGCGACAAGACGGAAAGACCCCAUGGAGCUUUACUGUAGCCUAAUAUUGGGUUUCGAUGUUGCAUGCACAGGAUAGAUGGGACACAGGGAAACAAGUGCUUUGGCAUUUGUGGAGUGGCCGUUGGGAUACCAUCCUUGCGAUAUUGGAAUUCUAACCUGCGCCUUUGAAUCAAGGCGGGGGACAUUGUUAGGUGGGCAGUUUGACUGGGGCGGUCGCCUCCUAAAGAGUAACGGAGGCGUUCAAAGGUUCGCUCAGCUUGAACGGAAAUCAAGCAAAAGAGUGCAAACGCAGAAGCGAGCCUAACUGCGAGACUGACGGGUCGAGCAGUAACGAAAGUUGGAGUUAGUGAUCCGGUGGUAUGUGAGUGGAAAUGCCAUCGCUCAACGGAUAAAAGUUACCCUGGGGAUAACAGGCUGAUCUCCCCCAAGAGUCCACAUCGACGGGGAGGUUUGGCACCUCGAUGUCGGCUCAUCGCAUCCUGGGGCUGUAUUCGGUCCCAAGGGUUUGGCUGUUCGCCAAUUAAAGCGGUACGCGAGCUGGGUUCAGAACGUCGUGAGACAGUUCGGUCCCUAUCUGUCGUGGGCGCAGGAUAUUUGAUGGGAGCUGUUCCUAGUACGAGAGGACCGGAGCGGACGUACCUCUGGCGCACCAGUUGUUCUGCCAAGGGCAUAGCUGGGCAACUAUGUACGGAUCGGAUAAACGCUGAAAGCAUCUAAGCGUGAAGCCGACCCAAAGAUAAGAUAUCCCAUUGUUUCAAACAAGUAAGACCCCUUGAAGACUACAAGGUUGAUAGGCACGAUGUGUAAGUGGAGCGAUCCAUUCAGCAAGCGUGUACUAAUAGGUCGAGGGCUUGAC